UGGGGAAUAUUGGACAAUGGGCGAAAGCCUGAUCCAGCAAUGCCGCGUGAGUGAUGAAGGCCUUAGGGUUGUAAAGCUCUUUUAGCAGGGAAGAUAAUGACGGUACCUGCAGAAAAAGCCCCGGCUAACUUCGUGCCAGCAGCCGCGGUAAGACGAAGGGGGCUAGCGUUGUUCGGAAUUACUGGGCGUAAAGAGCGUGUAGGCGGUUUGAUAAGUUGGGAGUGAAAUCCCGGGGCUUAACCCCGGAAUUGCUUCCAAAACUGUCAAGCUAGAGUUUGGUAGGGGGUGAUAGAAUUCCUAGUGUAGAGGUGAAAUUCUUAGAUAUUAGGAGGAAUACCGGUGGCGAAGGCGAUCACCUGGGCCAUAACUGACGCUGAGACGCGAAAGCGUGGGGAGCAAA
rnacentral:rRNA from 1 species